rnacentral:sRNA from 1 species
AUUCUAUCCAUGUGGGGAAGGAUGAGAAGCUUCGACUAAGGUUCGAUUCGAGCGAAAGCGAGAAAGCGUUGCCGCAGGCAACGACCCGAAGGGC